rnacentral:rRNA from 1 species
AUUGAACGCUGGCGGCAUGCCUUACACAUGCAAGUCGAACGGUAACAGGUCUUCGGAUGCUGACGAGUGGCGAACGGGGGAGUAAUGCAUCGGAACGUGCCCAGUAGUGGGGGAUAGCCCGGCGAAAGCCGGAUUAAUACCGCAUACGACCUGAGGGUGAAAGGGGGGGAUCGCAAGACCUCUCGCUAUUGGAGCGGCCGAGGGCAGAUUAGCUAGUUGGUGGGGUAAAGGCCUACCAAGGCAACGAUCUGUAGUUGGUCUGAGAGGACGACCAGCCACACUGGGACUGAGACACGGCCCAGACUCCUACGGGAGGCAGCAGUGGGGAAUUUUGGACAAUGGGCGCAAGCCUGAUCCAGCAAUGCCGCGUGCAGGAAGAAGGCCUUCGGGUUGUAAACUGCUUUUGUCAGGGAAGAAAUCUUCUGGGUUAAUACCUCGGGAGGAUGACGGUACCUGAAGAAUAAGCACCGGCUAACUACGUGCCAGCCGCCGCCGUAA